rnacentral:lncRNA from 1 species
AGGGUGAUUCUCAACAAGGCUCUGACAAAGAUGACUCUGUUAAGAAUGCUGUUAAUGGAGAAUCUUCUACGGCUUCUGUUUCAAGUAGUGCUGAACAACACGGCAGUUCAAACAAUCAGGAUGAAGCAGCAGAUGAUGGUUUGUUUUCAAUUGAACUCUUUUAACUCAUUAGAGUUCCCUGCAGUGCCAGCUGGUCUUGAUUUCUCUUCUUCCAUUAUAUCUUUUUUGCCUUUUCAAAUAAUUUACAGGCCAAUUGUGGUUUUGUGUGAAUGAAUAUAAUGGAACCCGUUGAAGAUCUGUGAUAGUAAGAGAAUAAGUCCUUGGUAUAUGAAAGGCUAUUUAGGAUCCUUGCUUUGGAUGAUGUGAGAUGGUGGAACUGACUGAAUUUUCCGCCCAAAACUUUUUGGAUAUUAUUCCUUGAUGUACUUACGCAUGCCUAAAAGUAAUCAGAAUCAUUAUAAUCAUCAUCAUUUUUUGGGACUUUAACUGUAUAUUGAGCUUGCUGUUUACUUUUUUUUUUUUUGGGUAGCAGUUCCAGGUGACAACGAAGAAGAUGAAGAAGGUAAUGAUGGUGAGAAUGUUGCUGAAGCAGAUGAAGACGAGUCUGACCUUGAUUUGGCAUGGAAAAUGCUAGACGUUGCAAGGGCAAUUGCUGAAAAGCACUGGGGUGACUCAAUGGAGAAAGUGGACAUAUUAUCAGCAUUGGCUGAGGUUGCACUGGAAAGAGGUCUGUUUUUAUAUAUUACAUGUAGAACCCGACUGGUAUGUAAAUCCCUUUUGCAAAAAAAAAAUAACACCAAAAUUCUGUUAUGCAUCAUGCAGAGGACAUUGAAACGUCUCUUAGUGACUACCAGAAAGCACUAACUAUUUUGGAACGUAUGGUUGAACCUGACAGUCGACACAUAGCUGAACUGUAUCCUUGUCGACAACAAAAUAUGUAUUUAGGUGAAACUGUCCAAUUCUGUUUUUUUUCACUCUGUUGUUGGAUGAAUUGAGCAGUUUGGGGUCUAGCCAAUAAACCUAUUUCCAAAAUUCUACCCUUUUAUUUUGUUCGGCUUUUUUUUUUAUUGCUACCUUAAUUCUAUUAUUCAGAAAUUUCCGCAUCUGUUUAUGUCUGGAGAUUGGUUCCAAGCCUCAAGAGGCAAUUCCAUACUGCCACAAAGCCAUAUCUGUUUGCAAAUCACGGGUACAACGGCUCUUGAACGAAGUAAAGAGUUUGGGGGAGUCAGCUACAUCAUCUGCUCCUGCUGAAUUAGAUGAUGGCAUCCAGCAGUCCUCCAGUGAGCUCCAAAAUGAUAAACUUCUGACAGACAAGGAAGCAGAGAUUGAAACACUCUCUGGCCUCUGUGGAGACCUGGAAAAGAAGGCAAGUCCAAUUUGAAUCUCUAUAAGAACUCCUAAAAAUCUAUAAAUUAACCUCCAUGAGUUAAUGGUACAUUCUUCGUAACUGCAGCUUGAAGAUUUACAACAGGUGGCCUUGAACCCAAAGUCAAUUCUUUCAGAAAUCCUGGGGAUAGCAUCUGCCAAGGCUAAAGGUGAUGAGAAGAGUUCAACUUCAGCUGUUUUGAGCUCUUCACGUAUGGGUACUGCACACAGUGAUGGAGAUUUUGAUUCUCCAACUGUUUCAACCGCCCACACAAGUGGAGCUGCUGGGGUCACACACCUUGGUGUUGUAGGAAGAGGUGUCAAGCGUGUAUCAAUGAGCACAGGAUCAGCAGAAUCAAGGCCAUCGAAGAAAUCCACAUCAGACCCUUCAUCUGACAAAGGGGAUGGGAGUGUCUGUUGAUGUGUCUGGGUCUUUUAAAGCUUACCAUUUGAAUGAUGUGAAUGUGGGUGGUUGAUUUCCUUCCUCACCGGACUUUAGGUUUAUUUUGCCAGGCUUGUUUUAAAGAUAGGUUUCCUCUGUGGCUUUAGUGAAUUGGAGUACUUCUGUUGCUUUUGCUUAUUGUAUCAUCUGCAUAGAAUAAGGAUAUUUUCUAAUUUGUAUUAGGUGGAAAAGGAUCUUUUUGAAUCCAUAUCGUGAUUAUAUCGAGGGCUCUGCCAUGAAUUAUAUAAUUCAAAAGACUGUUCUAUGCUAGGCCGUUGUUUGGUGUAAUAUGAACAUUGCCCAAGCCUAAUCAAAUGUCCCUUUACGUGAUGAUUGGAUGAUGUUCUGUGUCUUCAACUUUUUUAAGUGCUUGAUAAUUAGAAUCACUCUUUAUCAUAUUCUCUCCUUGGUUCUUCAAUACUAUAAGAUAGUCGGCGGCAGCCGGUGAUCAUCUUUUUUGAGCAGCUGCCUUGUGUGAAACAAUAGAUAUGAGAGUUUAUAAAGCGUCUGAUGGGGUAGCGGUUGCCAAUUUGUUAUGGUGAUUUAUUGAUGAAGUGUCGUGGUUACCUGAUACAAAGAUUGUAGCCCAAUGAAAUGGUAUACACAACGUCAAGGUUUCGAGGUUGUAGUGGAGAAGACGGUUGGAUAAGAGGAAAUGUAUGACCAUGAUCAUUAUGACUAGUCUUUUUUAUUAUAGUUAAAAAGUUUGAUCCACUGAGAUUUGAGCAUUGCAGUUAUAAGGCUGGAUAUGUGAUCGUGAGCGAAAAAAUAUAGGUUGGUGGUGAAGUGAUGUGGGAUGGUAAUGACGAUGACAGAUAAUGAACGAGAGCUCAAAUGAUACCUAACAUGAAAAUUGUUGGAGAAAGUACAGGAAUUAAUCAUGUUGUGAUUUGUAGUUUUGCACGAGGAAACCUGAUUCAAUUCACAAAAUAAGGCCAAAACUCCUGACGUAGAAACCAAUGGACACAUGGCCAUAGGCAUCUCCAAAAUUGGUGAGUUCCAAGGGCAAGCCGUAAUGUAUGAUGAACAAGUGCGAAAAUGGUCGAUAACAUCAAAGUGAUGGCAUGGGUAUUAAAAGGCUGAAAAAUGGGCAAGAGAAACAGAGAAAGCAAGGCGUACGUCUUCGUCUGUCAGAGAAAACACAAGCCAAUCAAAGAAAGAAAGAAUGUGCUUCAGGGUGGAUUGCAAGCAAUGUGGGAAAUAUACGUGGGGUGGAUGCGGCAAGCACCUAGCCACCCUCUACAACAGCAUUGAGAGCGGCAAACACUGCAUGUGCCGCUCGUGGCCUGGUGUUGUCGUCCCAGCCCCCGCUGCCCAGACAGCUACUGUGCAACUGCAACCAUCCAGGGCUUCGGCUUCAACUGCCACAGGUAUACACUAUAUCCAUUAUAAUUUCUAGUUGUUUAAGUUUUGUUUUGGCUUGAGUUUCAAGAAAUUUUACUGACCCAUCAUAUAUCAAGAUUCGUGUUGUGUUGUGUAUUGGGAAAUGGGAAUAUAUAUAUUGAUAAAUCUUGGUUUUUCUUCCCUUUACUGACAAAUCUUGCUUCUUUGAGGAUGUUUAUCUUUUAUAAUUAAUCUCUUACUCUUAAGUUUUUUUGUUAAAUAAAAAAAUAUAAGUUCAAUAUUUUCAAUUUUAUAUGAAAAGAAAAGAAAAAAUCAUCGUCAGUAUUUGUCAUAUCUAGUAUAAUAUUAUAACAUUGAAAGGAUAGGAACGGGCUCGGUGCAGCCACCGAUGCAUAUACAUUUAACAUUGACUAAACCCUCAUAUUAUAGUUUAUUUCAUUCGUAGAUUAAUUUUAAGAGCAAAAGCUUCGUAGUUAGUAGUUACCACGGGCAAAUCUCUUUUCUUUUCAUUUUUAAACUUUUAUUAUUUUUAUUCAUGAAAAUAGAUUAUAGUAAGAGAAAGGAUAAGAAAACAGUAACCGACCAGCAAAUUGUAAAACGAAUACUCUUUAAUUCUUUAUUUCCGUUGACAUAACGUUUUCUUUGUUUCUUAGCAGAAGAUUAAUUAAGUAUUUUUAAUGACCUGAACAAUUUAAAUGUACGAUAUUUGAGUUUAUUAUUUUCAUUGUAAUUUGUACAUUCAUUCUUCGUCAUUGCGGGUCAAUCAAAACGUGCGGUCGAAAUGUUAAAUGUUGGUUGGAAUUUAAGUCUAUAAAAGUUUGCCAAAAAAAAGGACAAAUCUAAGCAAUAUCAAGCUAAAGCAGCAGAAGUACUGCUUCUUUUUUGUUUUUAUUGAUGUGAAAGUGAGUUAGCAAAGCACAUACCCAUUGGUGUUUUCAUGGUUCACUUUUGCAGGCACUGCGAGAUCUUAAGGUGCUUUGGAUGCUGGCCAGGCCAGUAGGUGCUGUGUUAAGAGUCAUGGUGGGCCUAUUGCCUAAAUAAUGCUGUGGGAGAGACGGAUUUUAUUAUUAGUUGUAUUGGAUGCCAUUUAUAGGUUUCCUGUAAAGUAGUGGUUUGAGCUUGGCCAGCAGAUUCAAACUGUUGGAAACGAUAUAAUGAAAGCAAUCAUGGUCAAUAUCUUGUUGGCCUAUCUUGCUUUUCUAUAUGACUGGAUUAAUUAAUUAAUAAUAAAUUCUUGUUAUCUUGUGCAAUUGUGCUUAAAACAAAAUAUGCCUCAGCUUAACCCGCUAAUGUUUUAGGGUUUGGGGUCACUUUUGGAUUUUGCGUCAUGUUUCUUGUGCUGCUGCCUUUUCUUUUCUUUUCUUUUCACCUACUCGUUAUUUUCUGUUGCGUGCCUUACUCCUGUGUGUUAGAGGGAGAGAGGUUUGAAAUUUGGAGAUUGAAAAGUUCGAGGAAGUGAUUAAGGUGCCCUCCAUUUUUCACCUUGGCGCUGGUGGAGAGUUCGAAGCUCAUGUUUCUCAAGUAGAACAAGGUGUCCCACGUUACAGCAUUUUUUAUAAUCAAAAGCAAGUUCGGGGUUCUGACCUAGAGAAAAUUUUGGCUUUUCUUUCUUUCUUUUUUUUUUUUUGAAAGGUCUUGGCUUUUCAUAUCGUCUUAGAUAUUAUUAAGAGGGCGGGAAGAACAAUUUACACCGAGUAGUGCUAGAGAGAAAGAAGCAUGAGAGAGAGAAAGACGAGAGAAAGACGAGAGAAUUUUGCCAUCUCUCUCUACUCUUUUCUUCAUUAUUUCUCUCGUCUUUCUCUCGUUUUUCUCUAUACCAAGCAUUUUCCAUUCACACCAUAGACUGCAUAACAAACAAGUGGUGCAUGCCCAAAUGAACUAUAUAUAUAUACCCUGUACCCAUCCUUUCUUUUGUGCAUUUUGUCUAAUGAUUAGUUACCAAACCAUGUGAUUGCAGAAAUAAAGGGCACGGUAACACUAAAGUCCACUUCUCGAAUGAUUUCAUCUUUCUCUUCGGUCUAAAGAAGUUACAAAUGCAUCCGAAGGUUCAGUUCGAGGCAAGUGGGGUGUUGAUAAUUGUCUUCCACUAGCCACUGCUUUUGACAUCAUCAUAACCCCCCCUUCUUUCUAAUCAUGAUAUUAAUUAAUUAGUUUAAUAAUUCGAUCAUUAUCCACAUCCACAUGAUGACCCCGCCCUCUAAUUCUUUCAAAACGGCGUUACCCUUGUCCGUAAGAUUGGUCUGGUCAGACAUAUUAAUAUGAACAUAAAAUCUUUCAAAAUUAUGCCAACCCAACCCAGUGAAAAUUCAUAAAUGAUUACAUGCUUUUCUUCUCAGUCAUUGAGAUGGGUCAUAAAUGCAGGGAUGGAAGGCUACAAAAGAGUAGGUAUGUUACCAUAAAUGUAACCGAGUGCCCGACUUUUAUGUUCAGACCUAAAAUUUCAAAUUCGGAAGCCAAUAUCAAGAGAUAUAAAUUGAAUGUUGAGAUUUCCUUGGCAUCGAAGUUUGUAGAGAGAUAUCUAUAUAUCUACAAGUGGGUCAUGUCCUACAUGUGACUAUUUAUUCGGAUGCUCCGUAUUUAUGGACCUUUGCAGUCUAAUCUUGGCCGGUCGAAACGGCGAUUCCCUCCCCUAUUGGCUGCUGUACGGCCAAGGCGGAUGUACGGUACAGCAGCCAUGUAAAAAAAAAAUAGUUUAAUAAUUAAUAUUUUAUAUUAAAAAAAUAUCUAUUUUAUAGGUUUGAAAAAAUUCUUUAGUCCCUCCAACCAAGAUCGGCUUGUUCGGCCCUGACUUGGACCGACCAAUGGGAUCAACUAGGAAGGUGUUAAAGAUUUAGGAUAUAGGUAAACUUCCUUGUUAGUCAUGCAGAUGCGGUUAGGUUAUUUCCAUAUACACACCUUCAGAUAUUAUUAAGAGGGCGGGAAGAACAAUUUACACCGAGUAGUGCUAGAGAGAAAGAAGCAUGAGAGAGAGAAAGACGAGAGAAAGACGAGAGAAUUUUGCCAUCUCUCUCUACUCUUUUCUUCAUUAUUUCUCUCGUCUUUCUCUCGUUUUUCUCUAUACCAAGCAUUUUCCAUUCACACCAUAGACUGCAUAACAAACAAGUGGUGCAUGCCCAAAUGAACUAUAUAUAUAUACCCUGUACCCAUCCUUUCUUUUGUGCAUUUUGUCUAAUGAUUAGUUACCAAACCAUGUGAUUGCAGAAAUAAAGGGCACGGUAACACUAAAGUCCACUUCUCGAAUGAUUUCAUCUUUCUCUUCGGUCUAAAGAAGUUACAAAUGCAUCCGAAGGUUCAGUUCGAGGCAAGUGGGGUGUUGAUAAUUGUCUUCCACUAGCCACUGCUUUUGACAUCAUCAUAACCCCCCCUUCUUUCUAAUCAUGAUAUUAAUUAAUUAGUUUAAUAAUUCGAUCAUUAUCCACAUCCACAUGAUGACCCCGCCCUCUAAUUCUUUCAAAACGGCGUUACCCUUGUCCGUAAGAUUGGUCUGGUCAGACAUAUUAAUAUGAACAUAAAAUCUUUCAAAAUUAUGCCAACCCAACCCAGUGAAAAUUCAUAAAUGAUUACAUGCUUUUCUUCUCAGUCAUUGAGAUGGGUCAUAAAUGCAGGGAUGGAAGGCUACAAAAGAGUAGGUAUGUUACCAUAAAUGUAACCGAGUGCCCGACUUUUAUGUUCAGACCUAAAAUUUCAAAUUCGGAAGCCAAUAUCAAGAGAUAUAAAUUGAAUGUUGAGAUUUCCUUGGCAUCGAAGUUUGUAGAGAGAUAUCUAUAUAUCUACAAGUGGGUCAUGUCCUACAUGUGACUAUUUAUUCGGAUGCUCCGUAUUUAUGGACCUUUGCAGUCUAAUCUUGGCCGGUCGAAACGGCGAUUCCCUCCCCUAUUGGGCUAAUCUAUCAUACAUGCCACAUGCAAUUUUAACCAUAAAUCGAAGACAAUUAGACAAAGGUAUCUUCUAUUCCAUCCACCUAAGGUGGACCAGACUAAAAGACGGCCUUUCUGUCCUCUUGGAUUAUUGGGAGCUGUUAUAAGAACGACAUCUUUGAUUAAGAUAUAUUAGCCUCAUUUAAUUUCUGUAGCCGUUUCAUGAUAUAAAGAUUCCUUAAAAUCCAUUGCUUAGCCUGCAGACAAUUCUGUGUAAAAUAACUAAACACGAGUGGUUGGUGCAGGUUAUUGAUCGACGUUAUACCGUAAGCCUGCAGGAGAAAAAGACACAUGGACUAUUUUACCCUUUUUCUUCGUUUUUUUUUCAAAAUUCAGACACAUGGUUUUCAUACUAUGAAAUAUGUUGUUGUCAUGUAUGGUCUUAAUUAUCAACAAAGACGCAAACUGAAACUGUGGCAUGCAAUGAGACCAAAAUUUAAUAAUAAUAACAAUAAUAGCAAUAAUAAUUUGCAUGAUUUACGCAAAAGUUAAACCCCAGUUGGCAAGCAACGAGUUUAUUGCUAUUGGGAUGAUGCUUCUAUUCCAUAUAAUUAAGCUCCAAUGGAUGAAUGGAGAACGACACACGUGCUCUCUAGUCCCAAAUUUUACCCCCUUCUUGACGUUUAGAGCAAGGAAAGGUGGUUGAGAUUCUGAUGCGAUUCAAAGAAAGAGAAACAAAUAAAUAAAUUUUAUUAAAGCAGUGAUCAUAUGAUCCCCUUUUCGAAAUUUGUUCGAGCUUCGUUUGUCCUCUCUCUCAGUUCUCUGAUUCCGAACCCCAUUUCUCUCUUUCAUUUUAUAUUCUCAAUUUUGUUAGUCCUCCAUAAACAAAAGAAUAAUAUUUUAAAUUAAAAAGAAGGAAAAAAAAAAAAAAGAACUCUUAACUCUCUCAAGAACUCUUAACUCUCUCAUUCAGUAAACAAAAGAAUAAUAUUUUAAAUUAAAAAGAAGGAAAAAAAAAAAAAAGAACUCUUAACUCUCUCAUUCAGUCAUUCUACCCCUCAGAAGUCAUAAGCCUCCACCCUUGUUCUUUACUUUAUUUCUUCUUUCUUUAGGGUUUCAUUAUCCUAUCCUUUUUCCAUUUUUAUGGAUCUGAAUUAGUUUCUGACCAAAAUCAUUAGAGAAAGCAAGAAAUUUGUGACCAAAAUUGGGUAAAAAUGGCAGCCGGAAAGCCUACCUCCAAAGGGCAAGCAUGGUUAGUCUUACGCUAAUACACUCUAAAAUCUUCCUUUGAAAUACUCUGAAGUCAGAAAUUUUAUUGGGCCAUUCCCAUUGCAGGUUUUGUACUACUGGUUUACCGAGCGACAUUGUGAUCGAAGUUGAUGAAAUGUCCUUUCAUCUUCACAAGGUCAGUUCAAUUUCAUAUGUUUCUCAUCUUUUACUAGUAGAAAUCUCAAUUUUAGUAUAACAUUUUCUUUUUGGUUUAUGGUUUCAGUUUCCUUUAAUGUCAAAGAGUCGCAAGCUUCACCAACUGAUAACGGAGCAAGAAAAUGAGCCCACCAUGGCUUGGAAACAAGAAAAGGAAACUGAAAUCGAAGAGGAGGAGGGGGAAGAAGAAGAAGAAGUUACCUGCCACGUCAGCAUACCGGAGGACUUCCCAGGCGGAUCGGAGACUUUCGAGAUGGUGGCCAAGUUCUGCUACGGCGUGAAGAUGGAGCUGUCGUCUUCUAACGUAGCUCCUCUCCGUUGCGCCGGAGAGUAUCUCGAAAUGACAGAAGAGUUCGCCGGGGACAACCUCAUUUCCAAGACUGAGAGAUUCCUCUCUCAAUCCGUUUUCAAAAGCUUAAAGGACUCCAUUAGAGCCUUGAAAUCCUGCGAAAACGUCGUCUCGUCUGCGGAAUCCCUAGGCAUUAUUCGGAGAUGUAUUGAUUCAAUCGCUUUACGAGCAUCCUCCGCCGACCCUGCCUUGUUUGGCUGGCCGGUGACUGAAGGCGGAGGAUCAUCAGCUUCAAACCAGAAUUUGUGGAACGGAAUUGAAACAAAUUUACGUAGAAAGAACGGGAGGACUUCAGAAUCCCAAUCCUGGUUUGAAGAUCUAUCGCAGCUAAAUUUGCCCUUCUUUAAGCGAUUAAUUGCGGAAAUGAAAUCGCGAGACGUCAGCGGAGAGAUUAUUGAGAGUUGUUUGAUGUUCUACGCUAAGAAACACAUUCCAGGAAUAUGGAGGUCUGGCUCUAGCAGAAAGCAGAGCUCGCCUUCAACAAUACCUUCGGAAAGUGAACAGAGGGAGCUGCUAGAGACUGUAAUUGCGAAUCUUCCCUUACAGAAGAGCUCCUCCGCCACUUCAACUACUUCUACAAGGUUCUUGUUCGGCUUGCUCAGAGCUGCCAACAUACUGAACGCUUCAGAAUCCUGUCGUUCUGCUUUGGAAAUGAAAAUCGGAUCUCAGCUGGAUCAAGCUACGCUCGAUGAUCUAUUAAUUCCGAGCUAUUCCUAUCUCAACGAAACCUUGUAUGAUGUCAAUUGUGUUGAAAGAAUCUUGGGCUACUUUUUGGAUGGACUACAGAGUGAAGAAAAUCGAGAGACCACAACAUCUGCAAGUAGAUCUCCACCGUUGAUGCUCGUCGGUAAAUUAAUCGACGGCUAUCUUUCGGAGAUCGCUUCAGAUGCUAAUCUUAAACCGGAAAAAUUCUACAAUCUCGCCAUCUCUCUUCCCGAUCAAGCUAGGCUCUUCGACGACGGCCUUUACAGAGCGGUUGAUAUCUAUCUUAAGGUAGUGAAUAGAAUAUUUUAUUUACCAAAGUAAAAAAGAAAAAAAAAAGUCACUCAAAAUAUAAUAUGAUAUUAAAACCAAAUGAAUGUUCAACGUUGCUUGUCAUUAUCUGUUUUACAGGCGCAUUCUUGGAUACCAGAGGCAGAGCGAGAGAAGAUCUGUGGAGUACUGGACUGCCAGAAGCUGACACUAGAAGCGUGCACACACGCGGCACAGAACGAGCGUCUACCGUUACGGGCGGUGGUCCAGGUUCUGUUUUUUGAGCAGUUACAGCUACGUCACGCGAUUGCCGGGACACUGUUGUCGGCGGAGGGGGCGCCGCAAGAAGCGGGGAGAGCAUCGGGAAUAAGACAGGAAGAGGAGACAGAGGGAGAGGGAGAGGGGAGUGGCAGUGCCACGUGGAGGGUUGCAGUGAGGGAGAAUCAGGUGCUGCGGCUGGACAUGGAUAGCAUGAGGACGCGGGUGCAUCAGCUAGAGAGAGAGUGUUCUACGAUGAAGAAAGUGAUUGAGAACAUCGAUAAGAAGGGUCCCGCUGGGGGAUGGAAAGGUUCGUUGACUAGGAAGUUUGGAUGCAAGUUCAAGACUCAGGUGUGUGAUUCGCAUGAACAAACGGUCGUGGAUGCCAGAAAGGCCAGGCAACACCAUCAUCGCCAAUAGAACUCACCUUCCUAUUUCACGUAACUUUUAUCAGCUAAUUGUCUUUCUGUGGAGCAGCAGCAGCUGUCUAUGAAUUUGUUUUGCUGAGCCACCGUCAUCGUUCUGUUAAUGCCACUUGCAAGUUCUUUAAUUCUAGUUUCUACAAAAUAAUCAAUUUUAUUCAAAUGCGAUUUUCACAAACCCUACUGUGUCUCCAAAUGUUGCGCUUAACAUAGCAGUGGCCUGUGAGGUAUCGUCAGGAUUUAUGGAGGUAUAGCUAUCUAUUUUAUUUUUUUUAAUUACAUAAGAUUAUUGCUUAGAUUUUAACUAACAUUUAUAAUUAUAUAAUUAUUGAAAUUAAUUUAUAUUAAAUAAAAAAUACAGCGUUCGCUCAAUUAUUUUUUAUAAUUAAAGAAAGAAUUAAAUCACUGUGAAUUUGACAAUUGUGAAGGCAAGGUUAAGUAUAGUUAUCUAAUAAAUUUUCUCUUAUUUUUAUAAAGUUGCAAGCUGUAAUUAUUUAUAAAAUUCUCUUCAUGUUUUUAAGAAAUUUAUAAAUGUAAAGCAAUUUUUUUUUAAAAUAUAACAAAAAAUUGAUGAUCAAUAAUGAAAAUCUUUUUUGUUGAAAAUAGGAAUGUUUUAUCAUUGUAAUACACCAUUAUUGGAAGUUAGAAAGUUAAGAAUUCCUCAUUGUAGGUUAAGGUUUGCAUACAAUACUUCUUGAUGGGCUAGAUAAUUAUUACUUCCCUUGCUUCUCAGUUAUCACUUCUCAUGAGAGUCACUCGUAUAGAGUAGUCACGGUCAAGAUUAGACUUUUGGUCACAAAUAUUAUAUACCUUCCGUGUGUCCUUAUUUGGUAUUUGUUGCCUUGUGGUGAUUUUUGUUGGCUUGUAAUGAUAAUUGGGGCGUUGUGGAAGAGUCCGCUUUCAAAGAAACGUUUUUUUGUUACUUUCUCCGAUUAGUAGACAGGCAAUAUAAUAGGAUAGGCUGGUAGGGGGCAAGUGAAUCUUCAUUUUUGGACAACUUUUAUUUUCUUUUUAAGACAGCUUUAUAUUAUAUUAUAUAUAUUUAAUAUUAAACGAAAGGAGGUGUUUCUUUUUUACAAUUAGAGAAAGGCAUUCACAGUCACAGACUCACAGUCACCGGAUUGGAGAAAUAAAAAAAUCGGUUCUUCCUGACAUCUCAGAAAAAAACUCGACUUUGGAUGCGGGGAUUAACGGAGUCCAUCAGCUUACGAACACAACCACGACUGUGUGCAGUGUGCACUGCCCAUAAUAUUGGACUUUAAAAUUGGCAAUGAAAACGUUCGGCUGACUUUCGUUAAGAAAAGGAAAAUUAAAAAAAAAAAAAAAAAAGCCCCUCAAAUUUUGAACAUCAAACCAAUGGCUUUCGUCUGCCUUCCCCAGAUCCCUCGAUGUCUAGUUGAGUGUAAUGGUUAAGUUCUUAGGUACGAAAUUGAAGCCCACAAUUGGGCCACAAAAUAUGGGCUCAAAUUCUGAGCCCAGUAAGAAAGUAUGGCAUAUUGCAAGCCGCAAAUGGAGCAAGAGAUUUUAGAUUAUGUGUGAUUAAAAAAUUCAAGUCGAUGGCUCUGGAGUUUGGAUUGAGAUCUGUGUCCCGAUGGUUCCAUGAAACUCAAAUCCUGAUCGGAACCAGAAAUCGAGUAAUAUACAUGCAAAAAGUAUUCUUCUAAUUUUAUGUGUACAAAUUUAUGGGAGUUCUAUAAAAUUGGCAAAGAGAAUAAAAGUAAGAGAUGGAUUACAAAAUAGAUAUCACUGUUGAAAAUGGUUUUAUAUCCAAUGAUGAGUUGUGAAUUCAAUAAAUCGAUGGGCAGCAAUUUAUUAUUAUUAUUAUUAUUAUUUUAAUGAUAGUCUUAGCCCAGUUUAGGUUCUGUACACUUCGGGGCUUAAACCCACAACAGACGCCAAGUUACAUCACUCUUUAGUCUUUAAAACCAAAAGACCCAACGUGUACAUCCCCGGAAGUCGGCACGUAAGCAAGAUCCAAGAAGUGGCGUAGAGCCACGUGGACCACUGUCUUAAACUUGAUGAGCCCCCAUCCCAUUCCCACGGGCCACGGCCCAGCGGUGAAAAGCCGAAACAAAAACGGAUGGGAUCCGAAACUUAUGGCAGUUGGCGUCAAUGUCUCACAUUCUCGAAAGGGUUAAAAGCUAAGCUCAAAACGCGGGGGCCCCCUCACAGUUACUUGCACUUUGGUUUCCAAAGAUAAAAUAUCCAACAAGGUAAAGUCCCAACUAAAACGGGGAAUAAUAGUAAUAGCUACUGAUAAGCGUCUUACUCCUCUUAGUUGUCUCUUGUCUGUCUUUGCGUAGGUUGCUCCAUCUCAAAUCUCAAUUUUUUUCCGUAACAGACGCAGAGGUUUAUAUAUAAGAGAUUAUUGAUUUUCAUUCAGGGUUGGAUUUCUUGUUUCCCGGAACGGAAAGGCGAAAUGGGGAGAUUGAAUUAUUUGGCUAUGAAAACUGAUGAUCAGGUUGCAGCAGAGUUGAUCAGCUCUGAUUUCAAUGAGCUUAAGAUUGCUGCAAAAAAGCUCGUCAAUGAUGCAACCAGGCUUGGGGGCCUUGGCUUCGGCACUUCUUUUCUCAAAUGGGUUGCCUCCUUUGCUGCUAUGUGGGUAUUUUAUUCUUAUGAAUACAUUACACAUCAAUACAUCACAAUCUGUUCUCUGUUUACUUAAUUGGUGCGUUUGUCAUCAGAAUGCCUUGAUCUUUGAUGCUCUUGUUUAAUCUGUUGUAAUUUUCUUUGUUGAGGAGUAGCGGUUUCUUUUAAGCGAUGUUUGUCAAAAUAGAAAAGUCAAAACACUAUUUCUUUAUCUACAUUUUCUUAAAUGGCUUCCUUAUAUUUGUUGAUUGUUUAAUUCUAAGCCUUUUCCUCAUGCAACUUCCUGACAAUUAGGCUAUUUUUAUUUUUAAUUUUUUUUAAAUGAUAUAUAAAUAGAAUCAGUCUGCAGAAGUUUAAUAACAUAUACAACUAUACUGUCAAAUAAAUUUUUUUCACUCCUAUGAUUACUUUGCUGCUCUGAAUUUAAACAGGGGAAAAUGACAUUUAAAAAAAAAAUGUUAAUGUUAUGAUGAACCAAAUGACGGUAUGUCGAUAGAUGCAAUGAUUUAAAGGGAGGACCCAAAGCUUAUUAUGUUUAUGGUGAUUAUUGUCAGAUUCAUUAUAUAUCUGUAUGAAUAAAAUUUUCUCUGUAACUUGACUAUCAAUUCAAUUUUUUUGUUUGCUUACAUAAGCACAGAUAUAUUAUGAGUAUUUAUACUGCAUAUGGUUCAGGCUUGACCUGUUAGGCAUCCGAUGGAUAUUCCCCAAACCUUGUAGGUGAUUCAACCCAGUUAGCUGAGGACUAUCCUAUGCUUCAAACUUCUUUAUUGUUCAGUAAGAUUUCAGGCAGUACUUGAGGAAAAUAUAAGAAUUCUAACUUUGUUUCAUACUUAAGUUGUAAUUGAUAUGCUCAUGUCAUGUUGCUGUUCGAAAGGAAAACUGUUCUGCGUUCGUUUUAAUUUCCUCCUCUUUCUUAAUCUUGGAUGCCGAGAUGAUAAAGAGAAAAGAAGAAAAAGAUCAUGAGUAUUACAGACCUUUCACACAUUGUAACUGUGUUGAAUUUUUUGCAAGAGUUAUACUAUUGCUGUAGAUGACUAUUUAUUAUUACCAGAAACUUAAGUGCAGUACUAUUGCUGUAGAUGACUACAGGCUGUCACAUCCUAAUUGCCUUCUAAACUGUCUCAAUUUUAAACACAGGAAAGGCUUGAUUGUUCUAGCCUUCACACAGUUCUGUGAAUACCUGUUGUCUCUGCCUUGAGCUCCAUAUCAUGUUCAGUUUAGCUAUUGGUGUAUUUUGUAAUUACUAACUUAGUCUCUUAAUGUUAUUUAUUGCAGUUACUUGUUGAUAUUGGAUCGAACAAACUGGAGAUCGAACAUGCUGACUGCACUCUUAGUACCUUACAUAUUCUUUAGUUUUCCCUCAGUGCUAUUCAACUUUUUUAGGUGAAAAUUUCUGCAGUCACUUGCUUUUUAUUUUUUUAUGAUUGUCUUCAGCUGAAAUUGGAUUCUUGACUAAUGAUCACUCAGAGGAGAGGUUGGAAGAUGGAUAGCUUUCAUUGCAGUAGUGCUAAGACUUUUCUUUCCAAGACAUUUUCCAGGUAUAUGUUCAACUCAGUGCACUCAUUUAACUUCUCCAUCAUAACUUUUCAGCAAUCCUAGGAUGAUAUGCUGCUCUUACUUUCUAUUUCCCUUGCCAAUAUAAAAACGAUGGGUCUCUCUGCAGAUUGGCUGGAUAUGCCUGGAUCGCUGAUUCUUCUUUUAGUGGUGGCUCCAAGUUUCUUUGCACACACGCUGAAGGACAGCUGGGUUGGUGUUGUAAUUUGUCUUCUAAUUGGCUGUUACUUACUGCAAGAACACAUUAGAGCAUCUGGUGGGUUCAGAAAUUCUUUCACUCAAGGCCACGGUAUUUCCAACACUCUCGGCAUUGUUCUUCUGUUGGUGUACCCUGUCUGGGCCUUGGUGCUUCACCUCAUCUAGUUCCUCUAGUUCUAGUACCUUGGACUGCAGAAUUGUGUUUGCCUGUGCAACCAACUGGAACAUGAACAAAAACAUUCUUAUUUUUACCAAGAAUAUGUGUAUGCUUUAGAAUUUUAAUAAACCAAUGUCAACCCUCGUUUGCUUAAAAUAUGUUUUAAUCUUUGUUCCAAAUUCCGAUCAACUCGAUCAUAGACAGUAGGGGUGUUCGCGGAUCUGAUUUUACGGAUUGGACUUCAAUCCAUAUUCGAUCCAUCAUUUUGCGGAUUAUAAUUUUUCAAUCCAAUUUAAUUCACGGAUUGAUAAAAUUCAAUCCAAAUCCAAUCCAUACAUCUGCGGAUUGGAUGUGGAUUUGACUUAAUCCAUACGUCUGCGGAUCGGAUGCGGAUUUGACUCAAUUCAUAUGCAAUUCAACAUUUUGCGCAUUAGUUUUUGAAUUAAAAAUUUUUAGUUCUCUCCAACUAAUGAAAUGAAAAAAUCUAAUAUAAAAAUAAUUUUAUUACUAAUUAAAUUUAAAAUUAAAUAAAAUUUAAAUAAAUUAAUUAUUUAAUCAUUUUCCAAAUGGCUUUGUGUAAAAAGUUACGUCGCCUACGGUCCAAAAGGGAUUCAGCAAUGGUAUAAUCAAAGAAGAAAAAAUUGAGGCGAAAACCCUAACCCUAAAACCUUGCGGGCUCUCUCCCCUAUAAAAUCAGACGAGACCUUCAUAAACCAUCAGCAGCUUCGAGCCUCUCGUUCUGUUAUUUUCAUUGUUGACGGACCUCUAUGGUCUAUAUCUUUAUUUUUUUUGUUUUGUUUUUUGAAUUUUAAAGAUGGCUAAUAUCUCUUGCAUGUAAAUGAAUGAUGAAGGGAUGAUUUCUCGGUGAUGAUCAAAAAAUGAUGACGAGUCCGAUAAUUUCCAUUCUUACAAUCGUGACGACAAAUCGAGGCAUUUGUCUGAGAGAACUCCUAACCCUCAUCAUCAAUUUUGCUCUUCAAGCUUUUGACAAAGAAAAUUAUCGUUUUUUUUUAUAUCAUUAUUUUGGUGGUAAUGUUGAUUUUUGCCUGUAUGGUCAUGAAAGUGGGCGUAGUGAUGAUUGCAGAUUUACCGUCUUAUCUUUUAUAUGAUGAAUAAAUCACCUCCUACUCAUUCUGAAUGCCUUCUAAUUAACCGUCGAAUAAAUUUACGGUGUUUAUUAUGGUUUGAUCAUUUGGGUAGAAGUGAUUUUCUCGGGGUUUUAAGAUUAUUAUUAAAAAAGAUUUUAUUCGGUUUUAUCUUAUUUUCAGAUUGGGGUUUGAGAUUUAAAGGCUAAUGGCUCUUGUUUUGUUGUCAAUAGGAGCGUAAUCAUAGAAUGCGGUUUGGGUUUCUGAUGUUGAUAAUGACUUUCGCAUCUGCUGCUCUUAAAUUGAUCAGUCUCUAAAAGCCCAUCUUGGAGCAACCAAUACAACCCAACUUGCAAUAGAUAUAAGCCCCUUUGCCUUUGGUAAGAAAGAUAACCAAAGGCCAUCUACCAUAGAUUCUAUAAUGUUGCCUAAAAUUUCUCGAACAGAUAACACGGAGAGUGUGCUGGCUCAAAAAUUCUCAGAAAUAAUCUUAUAAACAUACAGAAAUUAAGAAAAAUAUUUGACACUAAUGAAGCAAAGGUCGCAGUUCAGGACCUCCUAUGGGCUAUUAAGUUGUUGCUUGUAGGGGUUAAUGGCAUUUGUGGGCGUUUCCAGGGUUUAACGUUAUGAAUAAUGAUGUUUUUUUUAUAACUGAAAUGAGUUCCAAAAAGAAAAUGACAAGCCCAGAAAGUAUGUGAGACAAAAAAAUUGAAUUAUAGGGAAUUUUAUUGGUCUUCUAAUGAUAGUAUAAUAUUUUUUAUUCUAAUUAGUUUACACUAAUCAGUAUUGUUAAUGUCAUGUGCGUGCGGAUAGAUUGAGUUGUUUGUAAGGGUUGAUGACUUGCUGUUAGUCUAAUCAUAGACAUUUUAUGAUUUUAUUUUAAAUUUCAUUUGAAGUGUGUUGCGUUAUUUUAUCAAAUGAUUAAGAGUUUAUCACAUAAAUUUAAGAUAAAAUUUUAAAAUGUUAUUCAUCGAGUCUAACUAUGUUGGUUAUACUCUAACUCAGAGAAUCCAUUACAAUUAUUAAAUUUAAAAUUAAAAUAAUUAAUACUCAUUUCAACUUUAAAUUCAAUGGACAUAGGCUGUGGCAAACGGACUUAAAACUGAUUUUUGAGUGCGAGCUUGUUAUUGAAUUUGUUGCAACCACACGUUACGUUGGUCUUAUUUUGUGACUUCAAAGGAUCUGAAAUCUGAACCAGCUUUAUUUCCCCACAUCACCGGUCGGCAUUUUGAUGAAAGAUGGAGAAAGUAUCAAUGUCAGUAUCUUUAUCCGAAAUGAAAAAUAUUCCACGUGGCAAAUCAAGAAACCAACGACAUUAGCUUCAAGCAUCCAAUAGGAAGAAGCCUUAUCCUAUCUCUUAUCUUACUCCCACCAAAGCCACCAAAAUAAUCCCUUCCUCCACAUACAAAACAAGUAACCCUCUGUAAAGAGUUUAGUUUGUUUCUUAGAAGAUAAAGGGAUACUAGCAAGUAACCCACGAGUGGUAGGGAGCAAGAUGGCAGCCUCGUUACAAGCCGCAGCUACACUGAUGCAACCCACCAAGGUGGGUGUGGUACCCGCUCGCAGCAGCAGCCUGCAGCUGAGGUCUUCACAGAGCGUUUCGAAGGCUUUUGGUGUCGACUCAGCUGGUGCUAGGAUCUCUUGCACUUUGAAUAAUGACUUGAAGGAUUUGGCUCAGAAAUGUGUUGAUGCUACCAAGAUCGCUGGCUUUGCCCUCGCCACUUCUGCUCUCGUCGUUUCGGUCUGUCUAUCAUCUCUUACUAUGUUUUCCUUUUGCUUCUAUUUACUACUAUCGAUUAUUAUUUUUUUAGUACAUAUGUGACAGCAUAAUGAUUUUGUAACAUGUGUUGUAUUAUUUCUUGGUAUGUUUAGUUUCGAUUUUCACUUGUCAACGCAAAAGUGUACUAAAUGCUCCUAGUCAUUAAUUUAUCCCCAUCAUGUUGUUCUGUUCUGAAUUAUGCCGAUACACUACUAUAAAUAUUUGGAGACGGGUUGUGGCUCUUUUCAAUUGACGGAGAAGGCAACAAUUAUCAGGCGCCAAUAAAUGUUCUCUCACUCUCAGAGUUUAGGCCGUCAACAGACCAAAUUUCAAUUUUAAUUUGUUAUAAUUGCUGUUACUAUAACUAAAUCAUCGAAGAAUUAGUUUAAAGAUAGUGAAAAUGUUGUUGGGAAAGGACUUUAUGAUCUGACAUUGUUGAAUAAUUGCUUGUUUCCUCAGGGAGCAAGUGCUGAAGGUGUUCCAAAGAGGCUAACCUAUGAUGAAAUCCAGAGCAAGACAUACAUGGAAGUAAAGGGAACCGGAACUGCUAACCAGUGCCCAACCAUUGAUGGCGGAGUUGACUCUUUUGCCUUCAAACCUGGCAAAUACCAGGCUAAGAAGUUCUGCCUAGAACCAACUUCCUUCACUGUCAAGGCUGAGAGUGUCAACAAGAAUGCCCCACCAGAUUUCCAGAACACCAAGCUCAUGACCCGCCUUACCUACACCCUUGACGAGAUUGAGGGACCUUUUGAAGUGUCCCCCGAUGGCACCAUUAAGUUUGUGGAGAAGGAUGGAAUUGACUAUGCUGCUGUGACAGUUCAGCUGCCUGGAGGCGAGCGUGUGCCCUUCCUUUUCACCAUCAAACAAUUGGUAGCAUCAGGCAAGCCUGAGAAUUUCGGAGGAGAGUUCCUUGUACCAUCAUACCGUGGAUCAUCCUUCUUGGACCCAAAGGGAAGGGGUGGUUCAACUGGUUAUGACAAUGCUAUUGCAUUGCCUGCUGGCGGAAGAGGGGAUGAGGAAGAUCUCGCCAAGGAGAAUAUCAAGAAUACUUCAUCUUCAACAGGGAAGAUCACCCUCAGCGUUACCAAGAGCAAGCCUGAGACUGGAGAGGUUAUUGGAGUGUUUGAGAGCCUUCAGCCAUCUGAUACUGAUAUGGGAGCCAAGGUUCCAAAGGAUGUUAAGAUCCAGGGUAUCUGGUAUGCACAGCUUGAGCAAUAGAGCUUUUCUUGUAUGAGUGUACUUAUUCCUAUUCAGAUUUUGAAACAUGUUGAAGGUGUUGCUAAACAUUUCUGUAAUUCAAUUUAGUAGCACUGAGAAUGUUGUCAUGUCUGUAUAUUAUCGUGGCAUGCUAUAAUAAUGCUUGCAAUUCUGAACGGUGAUGGGUUUGAGUGAUUUGAGGCCUGAACACACCUCUCACCAGUGAUAUCGAAAGCCUGGAGACAUUUCCACAUGUAGCCUAUAGCCGCCCAUCCCAUUAUGGGAUUCUCCUGAUCGGGAAUAGCCUGAUGCAGUGAUUGGAAUUGACAUUGUUAAUGUUCAUCCUGUUAUUACCUCAAAACUUAUUAGCCCAUGGAAGGUCAGAAAUGAGGCCAUAGAAGGUCAUAAAUGAUCAUCUUUCCAGGUCGCUAGCACUAUUUAUUAAACUCCUGGCCGUGGAGAAUGAAUAUGCCAACUCUUGCCAAAAUGUAUUCCGGCUUCAGAUAUCAGGGAAACUUUAUUGCUCUAACUUAAUUAGAGGCUAC